GAUGAACGCUGGCGGCGUGCCUAAUACAUGCAAGUCGAGCGAACAGACGAGGAGCUUGCUCCUCUGACGUUAGCGGCGGACGGGUGAGUAACACGUGGAUAACCUACCUAUAAGACUGGGAUAACUUCGGGAAACCGGAGCUAAUACCGGAUAAUAUAUUGAACCGCAUGGUUCAAAAGUGAAAGACGGUUUUGCUGUCACUUAUAGAUGGAUCCGCGCUGCAUUAGCUAGUUGGUAAGGUAACGGCUUACCAAGGCAACGAUGCGUAGCCGACCUGAGAGGGUGAUCGGCCACACUGGAACUGAGACACGGUCCAGACUCCUACGGGAGGCAGCAGUAGGGAAUCUUCCGCAAUGGGCGAAAGCCUGACGGAGCAACGCCGCGUGAGUGAUGAAGGUCUUCGGAUCGUAAAACUCUGUUAUUAGGGAAGAACAAAUGUGUAAGUAACUAUGCACGUCUUGACGGUACCUAAUCAGAAAGCCACGGCUAACUACGUG
rnacentral:rRNA from 1 species